AGUGAACGCUGGCGGUAGGCCUAACACAUGCAAGUCGAACGGCAGCACAGUAAGAGCUUGCUCUUACGGGUGGCGAGUGGCGGACGGGUGAGGAAUACAUCGGAAUCUACUUUUUCGUGGGGGAUAAGGUAGGGAAACUUACGCUAAUACCGCAUACGACCUACGGGUGAAAGCAGGGGAUCUUCGGACUUUGCGCGAUUGAAUGAGCCGAUGUCGGAUUAGCUAGUUGGCGGGGUAAAGGCCCACCAAGGCGACGAUCCGUAGCUGGUCUGAGAGGAUGAGCAGCCACACUGGAACUGAGACACGGUCCAGACUCCUACGGGAGGCAGCAGUGGGGAAUAUUGGACAAUGGGCGCAAGCCUGAUCCAGCCAUACCGCGUGGGUGAAGAAGGCCUUCGGGUUGUAAAGCCCUUUUGUUGGGAAAGAAAAGCAGCAGGUUAAUACCCCGCUGUUCUGACGGUACCCAAAGAAUAAGCACCGGCUAACUUCGUG
rnacentral:rRNA from 1 species